UACGAAGGGGGCUAGCGUUGCUCGGAAUCACUGGGCGUAAAGAGCUCGUAGGCGGCUCAGUAAGUCAGGUGUGAAACCUCCAGGCUCAACCUGGAGACGCCACCUGAUACUGCUGUGGCUAGAGUCCGGUAGGGGAGCGUGGAAUUCCUGGUGUAGCGGUGAAAUGCGCAGAUAUCAGGAGGAACACCAACGGCGAAAGCACUCUGCUGGGCCGACACUGACACUGAGAGACGAAAGCUAGGGGAGCGAAUGGG
rnacentral:rRNA from 1 species